rnacentral:rRNA from 1 species
GGGUCAGUAGGUUGGUCGUGCCACCGGUACGUACUGGUCUCACUGAUUCCUCCUUCCUGAAGAACCGUAAUGCCAUUAAUUUGGUGUUGCGGGGAAACAGGACUGUUACUUUGAAAAAAUUAGAGUGUUUAAAGCAAGCUAACGCUUGAAUACAUUAGCGUGGAAUAAUGAAAUAGGACGAUCGAUCCUAUUUUGGUGGUUUCUAGGAUUGACGUA